rnacentral:rRNA from 1 species
GUGCCCCACUAGUCUGGGAUACCACUUGGAAACAGGUGGCUAAUACCGGAUAAGAAAGCGGAUCGCAUGAUCAGCUUUUAAAAGGCGGCGUAAGCUGUCGCUAUGGGAUGGCCCCGCGGUGCAUUAGCUAGUUGGUAAGGUAAAGGCUUACCAAGGCGAUGAUGCAUAGCCGAGUUGAGAGACUGAUCGGCCACAUUGGGACUGAGACACGGCCCAAACUCCUACGGGAGGCAGCAGC